rnacentral:rRNA from 1 species
UACGUAGGGGGCAAGCGUUGUCCGGAUUCAUUGGGCGUAAAGAGCGUGUAGGCGGCCAGGUAGGUCGGUUGUGAAAACUGGAGGCUCAACCUUCAGAGGUCGACCGAAACCAUCUGGCUAGAGUCCGGGAGAGGAGAGUGGAAUUCCUGGUGUAGCGGUGAAAUGCGCAGAUAUUCGGAAGAACACCCGUGGCGAAGGCGGUUCUCUGGGACGGUACUGACGCUGAGACGCGAAAGCGUGGGGAGCGAACAGG